rnacentral:misc_RNA from 1 species
GGCUUUGACCCCUAUUAGGAGUUCUGCUGCGGCUCCUUGAAUGCGAGUAUGACCUCUCUUGACUAUACCUCUUCUCCUGGGGUGAAACAGAUCUUGAGUAAUGUCGUCUUUUAGGAGAAGAAUGAUAAUCACGACUAAGGGACCGAGACCUUGCAUUGCGUGGAGGUGAACGGGAAUAGCGAGGUGAGCGUGAAUAAUGUGGUGGGGAUCGCCUUCGAUCACGAAAU